UUUAUGGUCCAAUUUGGAAUUUCUGGAGACCCCAACGUCCAAAAGAAGUGGAGAAAGGAUAUAUUGAAAGAUGACCCUGUUAAAUUUUCAAAC
rnacentral:rRNA from 1 species